UUCAUUGAGAAGGGUGAGGUGG
rnacentral:misc_RNA from 1 species